rnacentral:rRNA from 1 species
ACGGCAGCGGGUUGUAGCAAUACAAUGCCGGCGAGUGGCGCACGGGUGCGUAACACGUAUGCAACCUACCCUAUACUGGGGCAUAACCUUUAGAAAUGAGGGCUAAUACUCCAUGUAAUUAUGAGAAGGCAUCUUUUUAUAAUUAAAGAUUUAUCGGUAUAGGAUGGGCAUGCGUCCCAUUAGUUAGUUGGUAAGGUAACGGCUUACCAAGACUGUGAUGGGUAGGGGUCCUGAGAGGGUUCACCCCCACACUGGUACUGAGACACGGACCAGACUCCUACGGGAGGCAGCAGUAAGGAAUAUUGGGCAAUGGCCGUAAGGCUGACCCAGCCAUGCCGCGUGCAGGAAGACGGCCUUAUGGGUUGUAAACUGCUUUUUUGUGGGAAUAACCGUAGCUAUGCGUAGCUACCUGCAAGUACCAUAAGAAUAAGCAUCGGCUAACUCCGUGCCAGCAGCCGCGGUAAUACGGAGGAUGCGAGCGUUAUCCGGAAUCAUUGGGUUUAAAGGGUGCGUAGGCUGGUAUUUAAGUCAGUGGUGAAAUUUUCGUGCUUAACAUGAGAGCUGCCAUUGAUACUGGGUACCUAGAGUGUAUUUGAUGUGGGCGGAAUGUGUUGUGUAGCGGUGAAAUGCUUAGAUAUGACACAGAACACCGAUAGCGAAGGCAGCUCACAAAGUUACAACUGACGCUGAUGCACGAAAGCGUGGGGAUCAAACAGGAUUAGAUACCCUGGUAGUCCACGCUGUAAACGAUGAUCACUAGCUGUUGGCGAUAUACAGUCAGUGGCUAAGCUAAAGCGAUAAGUGAUCCACCUGGGGAGUACGUCCGCAAGGAUGAAACUCAAAGGAAUUGACGGGGGCCCGCACAAGCGGAGGAGCAUGUGGUUUAAUUCGAUGAUACGCGAGGAACCUUUACCUGUGGCCUAAAUGUAGAGCGA